GCCUGGCUGGCUGAGUUGGUGGAGUGUGAGACUCGUGAUCUCGGGGUAGCGAGUUCAAGUCCCACGUUGGGUG
rnacentral:tRNA from 1 species